GACAAUACGGUGAAGUCAUUUUGUAAACAUAGUUGCUCGCUCUUAGUUGCUCUCUUAAAGAUCGAAGUUUCUGUGAUUUGAACGGGUAUUUUAUUUAUUUUAAACAGAAUCAGAUCGCGUUAUAUAAUUUUUUUCUGGACUUUUGAAAGGUUGUAAACUCAUGCAUUUCACCAAAGUUGUUGACUGGUUACUGUAUAGCUAGCCAUCAUAUCACCUGAGCAAGAAGCUGUCUCCACAACAGUACAGUAGGGCAAAACGUUUCAUUCUCUGUACCCAGCAUUUAAAAAAUUAUGAAUUCUUUCCAUAGAAGAGGAAUGUUUUCUUUUUUCCAAAAUCAAGAAGACGCUCAAGCAGUUGAAAAUGCUGUCCGAACAGCGAUACAUACCGUUGUGAAUGUUAUUUCUAGGAUCAACAGUGCCAAAAUACAAGAAUAUCAAAGGAAGUUUGCUGAGAAGGACAGAGAAAACGAAACGCUAAAACGUAGAGUUAAAAAAGCAGAACGAGAAAUAUCAGCACUGCGAGGCUCCUUAGAACUUUCUGGAAAUGAAUGUCAUCAAGUCAGAUCGAACAAUUAUGCUCCUUCGCCAGAAAUGUCAAGUGGGGAACCAACUUGCCAUAAAAAUGAAGUGGCGUGUGAAGCUGAGUGGAGAAUAGAUUUCCCCAGUAUUGAUGCACCUCCACACAGUUCAUCCCACUGCCAAAACACAGCCCCUCCCACUGGUGCAGCUCUUGAUAUGGCCCAUCACCAGAGCGCUCCCUUCCAUUCUGAGUCUGGUUUUUCAGCAGUGAGAUCCAAAGGCCAGUCUCCAUCACCCUGUCAAGUCAUCAGCCCAAUAAUAAAAGAGGAGCCCGAUGAUAUGGAGACUUUCUACAUCAAAUGGGAAAUGAGUGAAGAGAACAUCAUGGAGCAACAGGAAGGCCUCGGCUCAAUGCACAUCCUGGGAAAAGACAGAGAAGCCCAUCAGGGCGGUGGAGCUCCAACAGACGGAACUCAAUUUGUUGCUGUUAACCCAAGCAGACAUGAGUAUGGGGAGAGACUAACCAGGCAUCUGAAAAGUAUGCAUGUGUGAUUUGCUUCUGUUCUUGCUCCAUUAUAGUGGGAGGCUGUCGAGUGCAGAGACUCAGCGGAGGUUCAGAGAGAGAUUGCGUGCUGACCCUGAGAAGUACCUGGCCUACAAGGAGAAGGAACGACGCAGGAAUCAGCAGAGAAAGGUGUCGAUAUCAGAUCUACCUGAAGAGACCCGCAGACUAAAGAGGGAGGCCUGGAGAGAAGCAUCCAGACGCUGUCGUGCCCGUAAAAUGUCCUCCCUCCAGAUGAACCCCGCCCAGCCCUGCCACCUCCCCCCCGAAGUAACUGGGGGAACUCUGGGAUGCCGUAGGGGCAGGCAGUAGGGUGGCCAUAGAUCAUAUCUGUUAUUUCCUUUGUUGGUUAAAUGGAUAACUUUGGUAUUAAAUUGGAAUGAACCAAUUACUCAGUGAAUUGGUUGAGGUGAACUGUAAUGGAACUGUCAGUAAAAAUAUUUCAGGGGAAACCCAAUGUGCUUUGUCUUUGUUACAUUGAAACACAUUUUGGUCUUCAUUUUGACAAUUAAUUUCAAACUGCAAUUUUUUCCAUUCACCUGUUAUUGGGUUUGCAGACUACUUUUCCUAUAGUGGUGAGUAGACUAGACUAGAUUUUCAUAAUUAAGGCAAAUAAUAAUCAGUGUGAGAAGUUCAGUGCUGGGCACAAUGUGGUGUGGAGUAUCGAUUAUAAUCUCUAUUUUUCUGUUCAUAUUUUUGCAUGAAAAAAAUAGGCUUUUCAUAAACACAUUUGUGCCAUUCUACUACACUGGAGACAUUAAUAUAAUCCUGGUCUGCAAUCAUGCAAGCUACAUCUACAAAAGAGGCAAAUUGUACAAUAUGACUUCCAUUUAACAGGCAAAAUGAUUGUCCAAAAACAAAGUAUUAGUAUGUGCUGAAAUGCA